AUAGUGAUGCAACGGUUUGCGCGUCUGAUUGCGAUUCAGAAGAUUCCAGGUUCCAAUCCUGGCAGGUCUU